UCAUCUCCUCGCUCGCUUCCUCCUCUCCUCCCACGCCGCCCCUCCCCUCUCCCCGCUCGUCUCCUCCUCUCCCAUUCCCUCGAUGCCGGCUCCCCUGCUUGCCUCUCCGACCCGGGCCAGAGCCUCACCGGCCGCUCCACCCUAGCCGGCGACCGCUAGCUGCUCUACCGGCGCAUCCUCCCCGAGAUCCGGCCACGAAGAGAGUCAUGGUGGCAGCACACCAUCGCCCCCUCGGCUGCAAGCGAUCCAGCCACCCCGCCCCUGCCUACAAGAUCAGCACCGCGGCUCCAUACCUCGCCGCCUACAAGGACUAUGAGGACGACGAGAUUGAGAGGUUAUGAAUGUGCACAAUAUCUGUUUGUGUAAAUGUCCGAGGGGAAAUACUGCUCAGGGAAGAUGCCGAUGUGUGUGCAUCUUUCUUUUGUUUGAAACGGUGGGCUUUUAUUAUGGAUCUUUAAGACGGUGUGGUACUCAACUGCUAUCGAGGAAAACUCCCAGUAAGCAGGCAAGUCUUCCCGCUUGUUCUUUGAUUUUUCUGCUCAAUCCAUGCUUUAGUUUAUGUUUAUUGGUGUGCAAUGUGCUCGGUCUACCUUUUUACCUAUUUUGGUUGAUAGUCGAUCAAGAGGUAGUAGAUACAGAUGCAAAAAGAGAGGUGCAGAUUUGAGAACUGGCUGACUACAAAAAAUAACUCUAUAUGAAGAUUAAUUGUAAGGAUAUGAUGCUUCAAGAAAUAAUGUGCAUAAUUAAGUCUGGUGCUUUUAACCAGACAUGUCGAUAUGGCCAUUGUUUCCUGUCGUGCUUCACUGGCGUCAAUGACACCAACUUCAAGUUUGUCCAUCUUGUGAUAAUGUUUUUGGAUGCAGAGCAUUUGUAUAGGGCAGCUGAUCUUCUCAUUGGUUUCAUUGGGGUUGUAUGCAAGGUCUCAAAAGGUCUGUUGUUCCUGGACGGUGCGUGUGGUAUAAUCCUAUCUCCUCCAACUUUUCUUUUGUUACCAUGCUUUUGUCAUUAUUCACAGUAAUUUCUACUUGCGCCUCUUGCCAUGUGCUCCACCAUUCCUCUCCUGUUCCAGGUCCGCAAUGAUUUGUUUAUUUAAAUCUUUGUUCUCCACUCACUGCCUUAGAUAGCUGCAGAUGAGGAUGUAUGAAGGAUUUGGCCGUGAACUCAAUGUGACCAUUGGAUUGAAGUUGAAGGGGGCAUUGCAAAGAUAUGAAGGAAUGGCCUUUCGUUCAGAACCUGGUCAGCUACAUAGCUUCUGGUCGUACAUGUUUCUGUUGCAGCGGCCCAGUCAUGCGGAGAAGAAUGGCAGACGUUGAGGAUUGUGUCAGCUGAUUUUCUAAUUCAUGAUUAGCUCAUGGAUUUUCUCAUUUAUCUCUCUAACUUCCAUUUACAGAAGGACGUGCAUUAUCAGCUCUUAUGUAUUGUCUUAAUAACCGUUGAUAGGAAUGGCAACUAUGUUGAGAUGUGGUACACCAUUGAAUGACUUUUGGUCCAGAAUGAAAAAUAUAGGCAUGAUUAUUGUAAUUUUGUUGCUGCUAAUUUCUUUCAAACGAACCAUGGCUUCUAAUCCACAAAUCAACACUCCCAAGUCGAUAGCAGAGGCAUAGAUGGUUCUGAGCCAAUCUAAUCUAAGGUAGCUUAUUUUUACGGUUGUUUAGGUUUCAUUGGGUUAAAAUUAUUUGCUAACAUACUUUGAUCUCAAUAGUAUUUAUGACUGAUCUGCAUGGUUGUGUUGCUACAGAACCUGUAUGUCCUCCUUGAUCUAGAUUUUCUAUUAUUGGAGGUGAGAUCAUACACUCUUUUCUUAAAUGAUUUACCUGCCUUCUUCCUACAUGUUUUUGGUGACAGUUUGCUUGAUACAAUAGAUGAAUGUUAUGUUUAGAUAUGUUGUGCUUGAUGGAUCGGUCUUCUUUCUUUGUUUAUUCAUGCUUUUUAGGAGAAUAUUUAUGUACACCUGGUUGAUUAUUCAUGCUUUUUAGGAGAAUAUUUGUGUACACCUGGUUGUAAGUGAUAUGUCUUUUUCUUUCCACCACGGCAUGGACAUUCUUCCCAUUACAUUUUGUCCUCUAGAAUAUCAUUAUGAUUUUGCUGGCUUUUAUCUCUGUCAUUUUGAAAAAUUGCAGCAACUGAACAUCAUCUUCACCCCAUUAUAUUCAAAUGUAACUGCUGUAUAGUUGUCAUGCCGCUAAGUGCUAUGCUUAUAUGAUAUAUCAACAAUCUGGUAAUUCUUUUGUUUAUUUUCCCUUUUUGUUGGAAUCCCUUAUUUAUUAGGUACUUGCCUCCCUUAUUUUGUAAUUCCAUUUUAACCAGGACAUCAACAUGUUCACAUAGCCACUUGCUGGAGAGAAAAAAAUUGAGCUUUUGUGAUAUGAUACGCUAAUAUAUUUUUUGUUUGUGCUUUGUUCCAAAACUCAUGUCGUGAUUUAGUUUAGAUGUAUGCAGUUACAACCAUAUCUCUGAUUUAGGCCGCGUUGGAAUUUAAUUUCCUCGCCUAAAAAGUGCAAUUAGAAAUUAAUUUCAUGCCAAAUUAGCUAUACGCAUUGUACUCCGUGUAACCCAUUUUAGUUUUAUAGUAAUCCUUUAUUUCUUUCUUCAGUUCUAUCAGAAAACAUAUUGAGGCAUUGGAAGAAAUUGACAUGGUGUACAAGAAGGAGCUGGCUUUACAGUCUGGCAUUAAGCACCGGGGAGGAAUUCCUUCUUUAGGUGGUGAACUCACAUUCAUUUCAGAUCAUGUGGAUGUUACCAAAAUCUUGCCUUAUGUUGCAGUUUCCAACCGCAGAGGCUCGGUAGGUGUCUACUACACCACAGGACAUGCAAAUGCAUUCUCCUCUAUUUCUGCAUUCAUGUUUUACAUCUUACUUGAUCAUGUCGGCAUCCAGUAUUCUUAUAUAGUUAUAUGCAUGUGGUUUCCUCAACCUGGAGUUAAAUACAGGCUUGUCACUGAAUGAGCUUAUAUCACUCUUUGUGUCAUUGAAUAAGCUUAUAUCACUCAAAAGUCAAAACAUACUGGUGCAAACGAGCAAGGCUUUGUUUAAUAGAAGCAUCAAGACCAAAUAUUGAAUUAGGGUCGGCAUAACAUAAUAUUAAAAUUGUUCAGACAUAUGUAACCUACAGAAACAUGCCCUCGAUCGAACAUAGUGGUGUAUGUAACCUCCAUUAUUUAUGUCAUAAUGCAUGUUUCCACUCACCAUGAGAAUGUUAGUAUUAAAUAGACAAUUUGGGAUCCUUGCUGAUAGUCAAUGAUGAUAAUUGGUAAUGGCAUCCGUUUUAUGUAACCUCCAUUAUGUAUUUCAGUAUAUUUGCUAAGUUACUUCUAAGUCCGUUUGACUCAUCAUAUUUAGAUACUGUGUCUGCACUUUUGGAAGUGAUGGCGCAGCUGAAGCAGAAUUCAUGUGGUUUGAUAAAGCUGCAAGGAGUAUUGUUGGCAAGCCACUUAUGGCCUUGAUCUAGCACAAGUACCCCGGUUUUACAAGCGUGCAUGAUCUUGCCCAGAUAGGAGGUGGCGAUGUAACCAUGCCUAUUGAGAUUUCCCGCGUUGUUGCCCAGAAGUAUGUGCUUGUUGUUUCUAUCUCGAACAAGAGCUUCUAGCCUACAAGCACCCAGAUCUGAGCCAGUGAAGGCACUGCUGCCCGUGCGACGCAUCAUCGUUGUAAUGGUGAAUAGCAUAUGAAGCCUCCUAAUUUGUAGCGGUGCAAGUUGUAGCCUUUUUGAAGUGGAGCAGCUUUGUCUGGUUGGCCUUCAAUUAUUUGUGCGUUGCUUGUGAUCCUACUAGCUUAGUGUGCUUUGGUUGUUUACUUGUUUCCUGUUUAUAUCCCCUACAUGCACUAACCUGUUUAUGUAGCACUAAUGGUAUUUAUUUUAUCACAGGUUGGAAUUGCUUUGUCAAAUCCUUACCUUUCUUUUGCAGAGGCACUGAAUGGUUUGGCUGGUCCACAACAGUCUCAGCAAUGCAUCACUUCUCCAGGUGAAAAAAUGAUGGAAACAAAGGCUCUGUUUAAAUUUGUUGUCCUUUUAUAUCUUCCAGCCUUCAUCAUACAUUCUUCUUAUCCAAUUGUGAGUUUAAGUAGUUACACCUAUCAUUGUAAGCCUGUAGGAAGCAAAUAUUUUCAUGUGAAUUUUAUUUCUUUGUGAUGGUUUUACCAGAAUGAAACCAUAGCCACUAUUACAUCAUGUUAUUUAUCUUACCGUGCCGUUGUAUCUGUAUGCCCUGUUUACGUCUUUUUGACAUUCCCAGUUUUGUUUUUCUAUGGUAUAUAUUUGACUCCUUUCCAUGCCAUUUGGCUCUGAAUUUGUCCUCAUGGUCAUGUCUACUGGUAUAUAGUGCACUCGAAGCUAUAUAUAUUGUUAUCUACAGACCGUGUAUCAUAAAUUUCUGUUUUACCUUAUGCUUCUCCUUGUGGUUUUCUUCCUGGGUGAUUGUGUGCUCAUAUGCCAUUGGUCAAUAUGCAUGUUUAUAGAGGAUGCCCACUUUUCUUAGUUUCAUACCGAUUCUUAAUAGUCUUGCAAUGCCUGCUCGGGUUAGUUCUUUGAAUGAAUAGAGAUAAUAAAUGUAUGGGGGUUCCAGUAUUAUGUGCCCGAAUAAUAUUAAUGUACACUCUUUCAAUACAUGGCUUGCUCUCGGGCCUUUGCGCCAUUGGCGCAACUGGUCAUCUAGUUGAACCUAAAACCUUAAGGACUUGUUUGGUAGGAGUGGAUUUGGGAGGUUUGGGGAGGAGGGGAUUUCAGGGGAUUUGGUGAAUCCCCUUGUUCCACCCAAUCCCCCCCAGAUCCCCUUGAAACCCUCUAA